rnacentral:rRNA from 1 species
GACGAACGCUGGCGGCGUGCUUAACACAUGCAAGUCGAACGGAAAGGCCCUGCUUUUGUGGGGUGCUCGAGUGGCGAACGGGUGAGUAACACGUGAGUAACCUGCCCUUGACUUUGGGAUAACUUCAGGAAACUGGGGCUAAUACCGGAUAGGAGCUCCUGCUGCAUGGUGGGGGUUGGAAAGUUUCGGCGGUUGGGGAUGGACUCGCGGCUUAUCAGCUUGUUGGUGGGGUAGUGGCUUACCAAGGCUUUGACGGGUAGCCGGCCUGAGAGGGUGACCGGCCACAUUGGGACUGAGAUACGGCCCAGACUCCUACGGGAGACAGCAGUGGGGAAUAUUGCACAAUGGGCGGAAGCCUGAGGCAGCAACGCCGCGUGCGGGAUGACGGCCUUCGGGUUGUAAACCGCUUUCGCCUGUGACGAAGCGUGAGUGACGGUAAUGGGUAAAGAAGCACCGGCUAACUACGUG